rnacentral:rRNA from 1 species
AUUGAACGCUGGCGGCAGGCUUAACACAUGCAAGUCGAGUGGAGAUGAGGUGCUUGCACCUUAUCUUAGCGGCGGACGGGUGAGUAAUGCUUAGGAAUCUGCCUAUUAGUGGGGGACAACAUUCCGAAAGGAAUGCUAAUACCGCAUACGUCCUACGGGAGAAAGCAGGGGAUCUUCGGACCUUGCGCUAAUAGAUGAGCCUAAGUCGGAUUAGCUAGUUGGUGGGGUAAAGGCCUACCAAGGCGACGAUCUGUAGCGGGUCUGAGAGGAUGAUCCGCCACACUGGGACUGAGACACGGCCCAGACUCCUACGGGAGGCAGCAGUGGGGAAUAUUGGACAAUGGGGGGAACCCUGAUCCAGCCAUGCCGCGUGUGUGAAGAAGGCCUUAUGGUUGUAAAGCACUUUAAGCGAGGAGGAGGCUACUGAGACUAAUACUCUUGGAUAGUGGACGUUGCUCGCAGAAUAAGCACCGGCUAACUCUGUGCCAGCCGCCGCCGUAAGAC